rfam:Myotis brandtii contig251961, whole genome shotgun sequence.
GCCAGUUUGGCUCAGUGGAUAGAGCAUCAGCCUGAGGACUCAAGGGUCCCAGGUUCAAUUCCUGGUCAAGGCA